CCCUGCCUUUUGUACACACCGCCCGUCGCUACUACCGAUGAAGUGCUUAGCAAGAACGAUGGACGGCUAGUAGUAUGCCUGCAUUUCGGUGUUGGAAACUACUUGGCUGAAAGUCGUUCAAGCUUGUC
rnacentral:rRNA from 1 species